GCUAGCUCCAAUGUUGUCUUCUUCCAGGCAGAAAACGUGAGCCGAGCGCUCACCUAAUCCAUCCCUAGCUGGACCAAGCCAACCACCUCGUCCCCUCCUGACUUCAGCAAACCCUAGCCUGCUUCCUCUCCAUCCUCGGCCGCCGUCCCUUCUUUUCCCUUACCACGCAGACGAGAGAAGACAAAAGUUUCAGAGAAAAACACCCAGCAUCGCCGUUGCCCCGUCGUCUCCGACCACCUUUCGCCGAACCAAGGCCACCAAGAGCUUCCCCUCGUCAGGCUGUUCAUCCUCGACCCCAAGAACUCCUCGAAAUCGAGCACGCAAUCAACGCCAACGACCCCGUCCUCUUCCCCGACUCCGGCGGGAAAUCGUUGUUUCUGGCCACCUCUGACCUCCCCCGGCCCAGCUGAAGUGUUCAUCAGCUUCCUGGUGAGACGGCGCACCUUUUCCGCCCUUUCCCCAUUGCAUCUGAUCUUUUUCCGUCGUUGAAUAAAUCUGACGAAACUGUCGUCUGUGUCUGUACGAGCUCAUCUCCACCAUGGCCGGCGGCAACCCUGCGUGCUGCUCGUGUUCGUCGUUCCUGAUGGAUUCCUUCCUGGCACACUCGUCCUCCGGCAACAGCCUCUCGCAAUUGCUUCUUCCCGGAUAGGAUCACGAAGUGGUGCGGUGAGAAUGCGAACACUAUCAGAGUGGAAGGAGAGGAUCUGAGUGAGUUUUCGUAGAGGAAGGAAGAGUGGAGGUUCAUGAAGAAGAAGUCCAGGAACAAACAACCAACCA